GCUCGGUAGCUUAGUGGUAAAGCGCUCGUCUAGCAUACAGUGUCCCUGGGUUCAAAUCCCAGCCCGAGCA
rnacentral:tRNA from 1 species